AGAGAGAGAGAAAGAGAGAGAGGGUAAAUAGAUAUAAAUAGAGGAAAAGAAGCAGAGAGAAUUAGUAUGGUGAGCUGGAUACGUGUGCUUCACAGGGCAAAAGAAGCAAAAAGAGAGAGCUAGAUGUCCACGAAACGAUGAUGUAUUGGAAGGUAGGGGAUGGGAUAUGAGAAGGAUUAUUCGAUUCAAUGAUAGAGCGAUUCAAAGCCUCACCUUUACGCAUAUAGCUUGGACUUUGGAGGUGUAUGAUUUAAUGGCGGAUCCACAGAGUGGGGAUGAGGAGAAAAGCGCUUCCCACGGUUUUUUUUUAAUUUUUCGUACUUCCG
rnacentral:misc_RNA from 1 species